CUUUUAUUGAAAACAAAAAAUUUCAAAAUCAAAUUCAAUAUUACACACAUAUCUUUUUUGAAAUAAAUAAUAAUAAUAAUUAUAUUGUAUAGAAAUUUUUAUAACACACAAAGAGAAAUAAAUCAAUAAAAUCAUAACAAUAAUAAUAAGAAAUAAAAUAAAAAAAGAAAAACAGAAGAUAUAUAAGGCAAAAGAAGAAAUUGUAUAAACAAAAAGAAAAAAAGAAAAACAUAAAAAAACAAGGAGGAAUACAAUAUCUGUCAAAAAAUUCCAACUUUAAUAAUAUCAAAAUAAAAAAUAAAAUUAUACAUAAAUAAAUAUAUUCUACUAAAAUAUAUAAAUGCUAUAUAAUUAAAAUACAAAAACAAAAAAUUAAUAUAACAAAAAAGAAAACUGCAAGACAAAAACAAUUUUUAAAUUAAAAAGGUGUCAAAAAGGUGGUCAAUCGCGAGAACAAUUGAAAAAUCUUCUAAAUAUCAAAAAUUUUAAAAUAAAAGGAGACAAAAAAAUCUUUACAAAAUUUCUCUAUUAAACGGGCAUCAAAUUAAUAAAUUCAAAACGGCUACAAUGGCAUUUAAUGGUGGCGGCGGCGGGGGUGGCACAGGUGGUGGUGGCAUUGUACAAGAUGGACCACAAAAUAAAAAAAUUAGAACAGGCGGUGGUGGUGGACAAUCAGGAAAUGAUUCAAAUGAUCCACAAAUGAGGGUAAGUUGAAAUCAUUUCUUCUUUUAAUAUGAUUACAAUUUUUGGGGGAAAAAAUAAUGAUAAUGGAAGUAAGGUACUUUUGUUGUAUAACUUGUAAAAUUCUAGAUUGGAU